AAUCCCAUGGUGUUUAGUAGCUCCUAGUCACCAAGCUAUAUAGGCAGUUACCUAUGUUGUUUUUGCUAUUGUAAUUUUUAUGCUCUAACACCUCCACUACAUUGCUUUAUUCAAUAUAAAACCAAGUCAAACACAAUCUAAUCACAAAUUUUCUGAUGAUACAAAAUACAAUGAAGAUACUCUAUUCUUGUAUUAUAAAUUUGUUGACUCCACUUAAUGGCAUUCUUCAUUUUCCUGUUCACUACACAAGUUUUUUAGAACAAAAUAUCUUUCGUAUAGAAUAUGGCAACCACAGCUCCAGCUCCUAAGAACUUGGCUGUUGGUAGACGAAGUUUUUUUGAGGAUACAGCAGUACAUAGAUAUGCCCAAACCCAUCGGGAAAGGAAAUGUAGCUUGCAAGUCGACUGAAACUUUUGUGGGGAAAAUUCCUAUACAUGGCAAAGCAGAGUGGAGAUCGAGGUCAAUUGCACAGAGAUAAAGGAAACUAGUCAAGCUGAAAGUAAGCACACGCAAUAAAAUAUAAAACCAUAGUUAGUAGUAAGCAGUGCAAUUGCUGGUACAUUUCUCUAUGUAGGAUUUCAAUACAAACAAUCACAGGGAAGUCGUCCAACCUAAGGUAGUUUUUGGUAAGUUCUUAAAGGAGAAGCUUUCCUCAUGGGCUCAUAUUUUAGCCACAUUUCCAGCAAACUCAGCAAGACUGCUAUUGAAAUUUUCUAGAGAGAAAUCCUGCAUGGUUCAGAGGAAAGAUUGGAUUUCUACUGUAAUAAGCCCAGUAACAGUGCAAAGACAGCAGAUUUUUGGAUUUUCUGCCAUUAUGAUUUACAUAGAACAAAAGCGUACACGUACAAAAAUGUAAAAUAGGACAUGAGAAUUAACAAAUGCAAAACAGGAAAUGCAAAAAAUUCGAGAAGAAAGGCAGAUGAAUGCUACCUUUGGUAAUUUAUCCUGCUGAGCUAGAUGAUCCACAUGGAGUCUCACAUUUGAUGAGGCAGGAAGCCAGAGACUGCGAUCAACAUCAGCUUACGUAAAUGCAACAAUGUCAAAUAACGUCUCAAGGUUUGUUAAAUUUCUUCUUGGAGAUCAAGCUUGGCAUUCAUGAGUUUAAUGUUUUUUUUUCUGUCCUAUUGAGCUUGAUUACGGAUAUCAUUCCAAUUCCCAGGUACACCAUGACUUCCACCCCUGGGUCUAUAGGAAAUAAAGUUUCCCCCAUGGAAGAUCUUGUAGGUUUCUGGCUUUAAGAAUGAGGCUGUGAAGAAGUUGAAGCUUUUCUCUAAAGUUCAGUUUUUUGACUUUUCUCCAUGUUUUGCCACUGUUUGGCUUACAAUAAAAUCAAAUUUUUAGUAUAUUUUGAUAAAAAUUG
rnacentral:lncRNA from 1 species